rnacentral:rRNA from 1 species
UUGUACACACCGCCCGUCACACCAUGGGAGUCGAUUGCUCCAGAAGUGGCUACGCCAACCCGCAAGGGAGGCAGGCCCCCAAGGAGUGGUUGGUAACUGGGGUGAAGUCGUAACAAGAUAGCCGUAGGGGAACCUGCGGCUGGAUCACCUCCUUUCUAA